GACAGAGGGUGCAAACGUUGUUCGGAAUUACUGGGCGUAAAGAGCGCGCAGGCGGUCGAUCAAGUCGCGUGUGAAAGCCCCCGGCUCAACUGGGGAGGGUCACGCGAUACUGUUCGACUCGAAGGCAGGAGAGGGAAGUGGAAUUCCCGGUGUAGUGGUGAAAUGCGUAGAUAUCGGGAGGAACACCAGUGGCGAAGGCGACUUCCUGGCCUGUUCUUGACGCUGAGGCGCGAAAGCUAGGGUAGCAAACGGG
rnacentral:rRNA from 1 species